CGGAGCCGCAGCGAAAGCGAGUCUGAAUAGGGCGUUUAGUACGUGGUCGUAGACCCGAAACCAGGUGAUCUACCCAUGUCCAGGGUGAAGUUCAGGUAACACUGAAUGGAGGCCCGAACCCACGCACGUUGAAAAGUGCGGGGAUGAGGUGUGGGUAGCGGAGAAAUUCCAAUCGAACCUGGAGAUAGCUGGUUCUCCCCGAAAUAGCUUUAGGGCUAGCCUUAAGUGUAAGAGUCUUGGAGGUAGAGCACUGAUUGAACUAGGGGUCCUCAUCGGAUUACCGAAUUCAGUCAAACUCCGAAUGCCAAUGACUUAUCCUUAGGAGUCAGACUGCGAGUGAUAAGAUCCGUAGUCAAGAGGGAAACAGCCCAGAUCGCCAGCUAAGGUCCCAAAGUGUGUAUUAAGUGGAAAAGGAUGUGGAGUUGCUUAGACAACUAGGAUGUUGGCUUAGAAGCAGCCACCAUUUAAAGAGUGCGUAAUAGCUCACUAGUCGAGUGACUCUGCGCCGAAAAUGUACCGGGGCUAAAUACACCACCGAAGCUGCGAAUUGAUACCAAUGGUAUCAGUGGUAGGGGAGCGUUCUAAGUGCAGUGAAGUCAGACCGGAAGGACUGGUGGAGCGCUUAGAAGUGAGAAUGCCGGUAUGAGUAGCGAAAGACGGGUGAGAAUCCCGUCCACCGAAUGCCUAAGGUUUCCUGAGGAAGGCUCGUCCGCUCAGGGUUAGUCAGGACCUAAGCCGAGGCCGACAGGCGUAGGCGAUGGACAACAGGUUGAUAUUCCUGUACCACCUCUUUAUCGUUUGAGCAAUGGAGGGACGCAGAAGGAUAGAAGAAGCGUGCGAUUGGUUGUGCACGUCCAAGCAGUUAGGCUGAUAAGUAGGCAAAUCCGCUUAUCGUGAAGGCUGAGCUGUGAUGGGGAAGCUCCUUAUGGAGCGAAGUCUUUGAUUCCCCGCUGCCAAGAAAAGCUUCUAGCGAGAUAAAAGGUGCCUGUACCGCAAACCGACACAGGUAGGCGAGGAGAGAAUCCUAAGGUGUGCGAGAGAACUCUGGUUAAGGAACUCGGCAAAAUGACCCCGUAACUUCGGGAGAAGGGGUGCUUUCUUAACGGAAAGCCGCAGUGAAUAGGCCCAAGCGACUGUUUAGCAAAAACACAGGUCUCUGCGAAGCCGUAAGGCGAAGUAUAGGGGCUGACACCUGCCCGGUGCUGGAAGGUUAAGGAGAGGGGUUAGCGUAAGCGAAGCUCUGAACUGAAGCCCCAGUAAACGGCGGCCGUAACUAUAACGGUCCUAAGGUAGCGAAAUUCCUUGUCGGGUAAGUUCCGACCCGCACGAAAGGUGUAACGAUUUGGGCACUGUCUCAACCAGAGACUCGGUGAAAUUAUAGUACCUGUGAAGAUGCAGGUUACCCGCGACAGGACGGAAAGACCCCGUGGAGCUUUACUGUAGCCUGAUAUUGAAUUUUGGUACAGUUUGUACAGGAUAGGCGGGAGCCAUUGAAACCGGAGCGCUAGCUUCGGUGGAGGCGCUGGUGGGAUACCGCCCUGACUGUAUUGAAAUUCUAACCUACGGGUCUUAUCGACCCGGGAGACAGUGUCAGGUGGGCAGUUUGACUGGGGCGGUCGCCUCCUAAAGUGUAACGGAGGCGCCCAAAGGUUCCCUCAGAAUGGUUGGAAAUCAUUCGUAGAGUGCAAAGGCAUAAGGGAGCUUGACUGCGAGACCUACAAGUCGAGCAGGGACGAAAGUCGGGCUUAGUGAUCCGGUGGUUCCGCAUGGAAGGGCCAUCGCUCAACGGAUAAAAGCUACCCCGGGGAUAACAGGCUUAUCUCCCCCAAGAGUCCACAUCGACGGGGAGGUUUGGCACCUCGAUGUCGGCUCAUCGCAUCCUGGGGCUGUAGUCGGUCCCAAGGGUUGGGCUGUUCGCCCAUUAAAGCGGUACGCGAGCUGGGUUCAGAACGUCGUGAGACAGUUCGGUCCCUAUCCGUCGUGGGCGUAGGAAAUUUGAGAGGAGCUGUCCUUAGUACGAGAGGACCGGGAUGGACGCACCGCUGGUGUACCAGUUGUUCUGCCAAGGGCAUAGCUGGGUAGCUAUGUGCGGAAGGGAUAAGUGCUGAAAGCAUCUAAGCAUGAAGCCCCCCUCAAGAUGAGAUUUCCCAUAGCGUAAGCUAGUAAGAUCCCUGAAAGAUGAUCAGGUUGAUAGGUUCGAGGUGGAAGCGUGGUGACAUGUGGAGCUGACGAAUACUAAUAGAUCGAGGACUUAACCAU
rnacentral:rRNA from 1 species